GACUGUAACCAUAAUUUUCGUGGAUGUCCUACAACAAAAGAAGUCUGGAAACUCACACAGCUAUCUUGGAUACUCAAUAAUACUCAAGAUACUUUAUGGAACUGGCUUACAUGGGUUUUUUGUCGCGGAUCAAAUGAACAGUGCCGACUUUUCUGUUGCGGGCUUUGGAUCAUCUGGACAAGCAGGAACAAAUUUGUUUAUGAAAACAAACAAUCAACAAGCAGGGACAUUUCUAUUAAAAUUUUAGAUUUUAUCUCCGAACUAAGAGGAAUUGAGGAGAAGAAACUCAUCUUGGCUGGAAAUGGUGGUCCGAGAACUGAAGAGAGAAGAACGAGCACAUUAGUCUACUUUGAUGCGACCUUUG
rnacentral:lncRNA from 1 species